AGUCUCCUGGUGGUGAACUAUCUCAACCUCCUUCUCUCUCCCUCUCUCUCCUGGUCCUAAUGUACCAGCUCCUCUCCUGUUGCUCCUGUUUCUGUUAAUACAUGUACAUGUAGUUUUAGCCUUCACGAGACGAGGGAUUUAUUGAUGUGCUUUCUAUUUGUCAUUGAAGAUUUGAAUAUCGAUGUUCUCAUCCAGUGGUGGUAGGAUUGUGUUGAUGGUCCUGUUCCUUUAUCAAGAACCUACUCUCUCUCUCCAAUAGGGUCACCAGUGGGAGGGGCUGGGGGUGGAGUUUACAAUGAUAGCAAUCAGAUAUCAGCUUUCUUUGAUGUCCUCAAAUCUUGUUCCCACGUUUUUGAGUAUAUUGGAAGAAUAGCAAUCAAUAAGAAAUGGUUGUGGACCUGAACUAUAUCAUCUCAAGGAUCUGCACUUUAUAUACUGAAGAUUUGUAGACUGGAUUGAGGAACGAAGGAAUCAGACUGGUCUAUUAAUUCUUUUAAUUCAAAUCACUGUACUCUUGUUUGUACAUGUACAUGUACAUAUACUACUCUACAUGUAUGCCUGAAGUGUGUGCAAUGUUACUUUGUUGUCAUUGUUCAUGAAUUACUCUCA